rnacentral:misc_RNA from 1 species
GAUGAAGAACGCAGUGAAAUGCGAUAAGUAGUGUGAAUUGCAGAAUUCAGUGAAUCAUCGAAUCUUUGAACGCACAUUGCGCCCCAUGGUAUUCCGUGGGGCAUGCCUGUUCGAGCGUCAUUUACCCCCUCAAGCUCCGCUUGGUGUUGGGCGUCUGUCCCGCUUCGCGCGCGGACUCGCCCCAAAGGUAUUGGCAGCGGUCGUGCCAGCUUCUCGCGCAGCACAUUGCGCUUCUCGAGGCACCGGUGGGCCCGCGUCCAUCAAGCUCACCCCCCCAGUUUGACCUCGGAUCAGGUAGGGAUACCCGCUGAACUUAAGCAUAUCAAAAGCGGAGGA